rnacentral:sRNA from 1 species
UAUCAUCAUAAGUGACAACUGUAGAUGU